UGAAAUCUUUCUAUUUUGUAUUACUUUUUUUACUUCUGAUUUUAUAUAUAUGUGAACUUAAAAUUUCAUAUCUGCUAAAAUAAAACAAUUAGAACACAAGUAUGAGAUGAUAAACUGUUUAGUUAUUCCUCUCUGAUUAAAAAUUAGGUGCUUAUUCCAGAUAAUUUGAGAAAUAGAGUAAUAAUAUAAUACAUAAGGAAAGAUAAUUCUGGAAAUUCCUUAUGCUACAAAUGUAAUUCCACAUUCUAGUAGGUUUAGUGUUAAUAUUAUUUUUUGACUUUAUAUGAAUUUGUAAUAAUUGACACAAAGGAUGCUGAAUUUUCAGAUUGUGAGACUUCUUUGUCUUAAUUAAUGGAAGUCAUUAAUAUUCUGCACUGAAAUUUAGUACCAUCUCCUGCCAUAUUUGGGCUCAUUAAAUUCCACUGAGCCAUAUCCCCAGCCCUUUAUUUAUUUAUUUUUUUAUUUUGCAAGCAGGUCUUGCUAAAUUGUUUAGGGCCUUGCUUAAAUUGCUGAUGCUGGCCUUGAAUUUGGAGUUGUCCUGCCUUUGCCUCCCAAAUCCCUGGGAUUACAGGCAUGUGCCACCAUGCCCUGCUUAGGCUCAUUAUUUUUCAUACUUUCAUCUUUUCCACUAUAGUAAUUUGAGUAGAAAGUGCAAAAAAAUUGUUUUGUUCCUUUUAUGAAUUGAGCUCAGGGCCUUGCACAUGCUAGGCCAGCACUCUACUGUUGACCUAUCCCUCAAAAUGUUUUGAACUGGAGUAGUGUAUCACUCUUCCUUUAUCAUGAGGAAAUGACUAUUUCUUUAUUUCGAAGGAUAAUUCAUAUUUUUAUUCACAGAAAACAGUGUACAUUGAAACAAGUUUAGUGGCAAGUUUAGCCUUUUCAUUUUCCUCUGUAGCAAUGGGAACCCUGGGUUUUGAGUCUAGGAUGUUUUCUCUUUCAAUGAUGGCAGAUCUCAUAUCUACCAAUGUAAUUGAUCCUGGUCUAACAGCUUAGGCACUGCUUAUGUUUCUUGUGAAUUUACCUGUACUAAGGCAUUAGUGGUCCAGGUCUUUUUGAGGCUGUCCCAGUGUGACUUUUCCAUUAAUGUUAUAGUAAGGAACCCCUAUCUUAUGUCAUAGAACAGGGAGGAAGAUAACCAGAUUAAUGAGAUUCAUACCAGACACUGUAAUAAGCAGCUGUUCCUGCCAAGAUAGCACAGUACACAAAGGAAAAGUGGUCUCUUUGUUAGGACAGUCCCUUUGCCUGCUGCUUUCCUCUCACAGGGCCAACUAUCUCUGCUUCUCUCACAUUUUCUUGGAUCUGUAUUUAUGAACCAGAAGAAGCAGAGUAGUUGUUUGGCAGCCCAAGUUAUGAGUGAAUAGAUAGACACAGUAGGCACGUUUGCUGGUAUUGCCUGAUGUAGCAGGGCUAUUUGACAGAGUGGGUAAGUUUCAUUUGGAACUAUAUUCCCUGAUGACAGCCAGAACUCUUGAGUCUUUUUUCAGAUUAACCACUUUCUUGGCCUCAUUCACCAUAGCAGAAUCCAUGGCCAUCUUCUUCCCUUUAGACUUCCUCAGUUUCUUGGGUUGCUUGGGGGUGAAGGAGCAUGAAAAUGACUUUCUGAUAUGUUAACAUUGGACAGCUAAGAAUAUGGAGGAAUUUUUACAGUAUGUCUUUACUCUUUUUUUUAGAUGAGCUAUAUGGCAAUAUAAUUUCUAUACUUAUGUUUUUCCUUCUAUCCUUAUAUUCAACCUUAUUUGUCCUGUGAUCAUUACAUUAUUUUCCUCCCUUUUUUUUUGGCAAUACUGAGAGUAGAACUCAGUAUUGACCUUCCUUCCUUUUAUCUGUGUGCCCAGCCAUGUUUAUUAUUUAUUUUGCAGUAUGGUCUUGCUAGGUUGCCAAGGCUGACUUCAAAUUGUGAUACUUCUCAGUGGUACUUCUCACUGGGAUUAGAGACGUGUGCCACCAUGUCCUAUUUCUUUAUUUUCAUUUUGAAACAAGGUCUUACUAAUUUAUCAAGGCUAGCUAAAAUUUGCAAUCCUGCCUCAACUUUCCAAGUAGCUGGGAUUAUAGGCCUGCACAGCUGUGCCCAGUUUAGUCCUCAUUUUUUAUAUGAUGGCGAGGCAGAAGCAUUCUUAAUAAAGUUAACUGUAACCUAAAGUUCUAAAUAAAGAGCUUAUUUUACAUUUUAAAAUAUUUGAUUUAUGGGAAUGUGUACAUAUUGCAUAAUAUUUUUGUUCAGAAUUAUUCUAGUGUUUUCCAGAGAUUUUAUGUAAUGUUAGUAUUUUCCAGAGAUUUUAUGUAAUGAUUUUAAAGUCAGGAGGUAAAUAAGUAAUUUGAAGUUAUUUGUGGUUAGGAUGAUUGGAUCACUGGUAGUGAGGAAGUUUAGUUCAGCCAAAUAAUUUAGGGUCUGUAAUUCUGAGCUGUACUGAACUCUGCCCAUUGAUCUGAUUGAUGUAUGUGUGUUCAAUGAAAGGAAUUCAGAAAUGAUAGAUUGUUUCUUAGGGUGAGUGGUUCAAUUUCAGAAUAGAGGGAUUAAUUGAUGAUUGCAAGAAUGAAUGUAUAGAUGCAUGGUCUGGUUGGAAGAUUGAUGGAAUCACAAAUAGUUGAGAACAAGUGGCUCUAUGUCAAUUGUAGGUUGGAUACAGAAAUGUAUUUUGGAUGUUGUUAAGAAAGAAGAAAAAGUAUGAAUAUGUAAGUAUUUUAUGUAUAUAAGGUUGAUGCAUGAGUAGAAGAGGAAAUGGGGAUAAAUAUUGACAUACUUGGCAAUUUGAUAUAUACUAUGUAAAAUGAAAAACAAAUUUAUAAAAAUAUUGAUGAAUAUCUGAAAGAAUAUAUGAAUAAGUGAAAUCAGGAAAGUAAAGAUUUUAAGUUUCUGCUAGGAGUUUAUGGGUCAUGGCAGUCACUCAUGUGUUGUCACAAAGAUAGUAUUUAUUGCUGGUUCCAUUACAAUAUAAGGUUUUAUGGUUUAUUACAUCAAUGGGACGUUGUGGAAAGGAAAGUCAGAUAGUUGGUGUAUAAAUCAAUCACAUGAGCACCCUAAAGUUUAGGGAAUUUGGAAAAUGUAUUUUUUCAUGUUUAAUAAUAAUAAUUAUUAUUAAAAUAUUAUGUAAAUGAGAUAAUAGAUAUCAAUUAGCUUGAAUUAGACAUACCACAUUAUAUACAUGUCAAACAUAAUUAUGUAUAAUUUAUCUGAGAGUCAAUAAAUGUUUUGAAAUAUAUCAAUAGUGGAUAGGUAGAGGGAAACAAGGAAAUCAGGCUGGUCAGGGAAAAAAAGGGAUAUAGAAAAUAUCAGAAAUAAACAGCCAUAGGUAUUAGCAUCUGCUGCAAAUAACAUGGGUUGUAAUGACAGCAGUAGGUUGAAUUUUAUUUUUGGCUGCAUGACUUAGAAUAUUGAUAAUAUUAUUAGCAGAUGGUAAGUUGAGGAAUAUGUCCAGGAAUAUGUCCAUAUUAGGAUGAUGAAAGUAGGUUUUUAAACACUUCACUUGAUGAGUUAAUGAAGACUAUUUAAAUAAUUUCAAACAAUACUAUUUUUUUUCUUUCAUAAGCCUCUUUCACAAGCAAGGACCCAAAAGAGCUUCCCUUAAGGUGGUGACUGUGUGGAUGAUUACAACAUAUGUAUGUCCCUUCUGCAGUGGUUCCAUUCACACCAUCACCCAAAUACUGCCAUUAUUUCUCCUUUCUGGGAUCUUACUCCAUCUUUAUACCUCACAACUUUGAUAGAAGUAUGCACAAGAAUAGAAGGGACCUGCUUUUUGCUAAGUCAAAAUUUAUAACAUGUUAGAGUGCUUCAGGGAAGAGAGAGAAGAGGAGGGCUUUAAUGAGGUCUUCCAUUUCAGAAAAUAGGGGACGAGGUGGUGGGAGAGGGAGGCGUGCCUGGUGGCUGACUGGAGCAUGCCCACCUGUGCUGA